rnacentral:SRP_RNA from 14 species
GCUGUGCGAGUGGCCAUCCGUGAACCCGCUCAGGCCCGG